AUGACUUGAUGUCACGUGUAUGAUUGAGUAUAAGAACUUAAACCGCAACCGAUCUUAAAAGCCUAAGUUGUGUUUCCUUGUUAGGAGA
rnacentral:sRNA from 1 species